ACUGUCUCGAAGCUCUGAAACUGAAAACUUCACCUAAGUUUGAGGCAAACUCAUUCAGUGGUAAAAACUAUCUGAAUUGGUACAAGACUAUUUUUAACCUUUAUUAAUCUCAUAUAAUGUUAACAUUCAUACAUUUUGCUACAGAGAUAUUAAUGUAUUUGAUAAUAGAGUAUUGCUCCAGACUCUGUUGAACGGUGUUAUGUAAUAUAUAGUAUAUGUACUCUAUUACUUUUCUAAAAUUCAAGAAGUUCUAAUUUCCAGAAUGCAUUUGACCCAAAGGUUUCAGAUGAUGAAAUGUGACCCCAAUAAUUUUGAGUGUAGAGGGAUACAGUGGGAUGUUCCAAUUACCCUUACCAUUCACAUAUUUUUUCAUACCAAGCUUUUUCCAAAUGUCUGUUUUUAUAAAAUAUGCGUGGGGUAUAAUUCUGUUUUUAUCUUUUUCAAAAAGCGUUCACACUUUUAAAGUAGCUCAAACAGAAAGCUUCAAACUACUUUUGAUUGACCUGCUACUCAAACUACUAACUUCUCCCUUUUUACAAACUGAAAAUAACAAAAAAUUGACUAGACAGUCUAAGAUAUUAUAUGGCUUGGUAAUUUGGGAAAUGAGGCUUCAAAUUCUUUUCCUGCUAGGUCUACGGAUGCUUUCCUGCUACACUGGCAGAGUUGUGUAAUUAUGGAAGAGACCACAUGAUCUCCAAAGCCUAAAAUAUUUUCUAUCUGGCCUCCUUUCCGGCAAGUCUGCUAACCCCUGCUCACUGUUCAGCCGAGGUUGCUACUAAUAUCUAUGACUAUCUGAUAGCUAUGAUUUUACAAAAUGAAGGUGGUUUGUCUGCAUUCAGGGCUUACAUUAUGUAUAGAUAACUUUUAAAAGGCAAAGAUGAUAGCUGCCACAGACUGACAUUCCCCCCUUUUUAAAGUUAAUUAAUUAUUAACAUCAUUUCUGCACCCAAUGUGGGGCUUGAACUCGUGACCCUGAGAUCAAGAGUCAUGUGCUCUACCGACUAAGCCAGCCAGGUGCCCCAUUCCCUUUCUGUUUGAAUGUGGUCUCAACUGGUCAAAAUUUUAGAUUCUU
rnacentral:lncRNA from 1 species